GUGUCCCUGCGGUGCGCGUGAUCGGGAUUAGAAAUCUUGACCCAAUAAUGUAAAACCGGGAGCCUAACUGGGUAAGCGCUUCGGCGCUCAUUCGAGGGCACCCACCUGAUGAGAAUCGGGAUCAAGAUUAUCAAGUUCGCAACGGCAUCUGCGGGGAUUUU
rnacentral:other from 1 species